UGAGGAAUAUUGGUCAAUGGACGCAAGUCUGAACCAGCCAUGCCGCGUGCAGGAAGACGGCUCUAUGAGUUGUAAACUGCUUUUGUACGAGGGUAAAUGCAGGUACGUGUAUCUGUUUGAAAGUAUCGUACGAAUAAGGAUCGGCUAACUCCGUGCCAGCAGCCGCGGUAAUACGGAGGAUCCAAGCGUUAUCCGGAUUUAUUGGGUUUAAAGGGUGCGUAGGCGGUUUUAUAAGUUAGAGGUGAAAUCUCGGGGCUCAACUCCGAAAUUGCCUCUAAUACUGUAGGACUAGAGAGUAGUUGCGGUAGGCGGAAUGUAUGGUGUAGCGGUGAAAUGCUUAGAGAUCAUACAGAACACCGAUUGCGAAGGCAGCUUACCAAACUAUAUCUGACGUUGAGGCACGAAAGCGUGGGGAGCAAACAGG
rnacentral:rRNA from 1 species